rnacentral:rRNA from 1 species
AUGCCGACAGAUGUGGGUCAGUCAAAGAAUGGCACAUUCAAAUAUUUACGCAAUAGAGUGUGGGAGAAAGUGAUGGGAUGGAUGCAGAAGCUCUUGUCAGCGGCAGGAAAGGAGAUCCUCAUUAAAUCAGUAGCGCAAGCAAUCCCAGUUUACUCUAUGUCUUGUUUCAGACUGCCGAGAGGGCUUUGCGAGAAUGUCACAUCUAUCAUCCAUCAGUUCUGGUGGGGCAGCAAGCGGGGGAAGCGUAAACUAGGUUGGCUGGCUUAUGAUGUUAUGACCAGACCGAAGCAUAUGGGAGGCAUGGGUUUUCGAGAUCUCGAGCUUUUCAAUCUAGCUUUGUUGGCAAGACAAGCGUGGAAGCUACUGAAUGAUACAGAAUGCUUGAGUGCUAGACUGCUCAAGGCAAUAUACUAUCCCGGGACCUUGCUCCUCCUAGCUGAACUGGGUUCUAACCCGUCUCAGAUUUGGAGAGCCAUUAUAGACGGUAGAGAUGUACUGGCGCAAGGAAUAAUGAGAAGAAUUGGGGAUGGAGCUACUACCAGAAUAUGGGAUCACAAUUGGAUACCACGUGCAAGCUUUAAACAGCCGAUUACUUCAUUGCUUCAAGCACCUCCACAACUGGUGUCAGAAUUGAUUGAAACGGCCACGACUUCCUGGAGGGAGGAGCUCAUUCAAUCUGCGUUCAUAGCCUUUGAUGCUGAAUCCAUUCUUCAAAUACCAUUGUGCACUAGAUGGGUUGAUGAUUAUUGGGCCUGGAGUGAAGAACCUCGAGGGUAUUUCUCUGUUGGCUCGGCAUACCGCAUGUUGGUGCGUACCAAAUAUGAUAGAGAAGGAUGGCUUGAGGGCAGGGAGACACCAUCAAGCAGCAAGGGAAACAAGGAGGAGUGGAAGGCAAUCUAG